UUAUAGAUCGGUAGGAGAGUGUCGUUAAAGCAUUGAAGCUAAGCUGUAAGGCUUGGUGGAGUUUUAACAAGUAAGAAUGUUGGCAUGAGUAGCAAAAAUGCCGGUGAGAAUCCGGCAGGCCGUAAGUCUAAGGAUUCCUACGCAACGUUGAUCGGCGUAGGGUUAGUCGGUCCUAAGGCGUAUCCGAAAGGAAAAGUCGAUGGACAGCUGGUGAAUAUUCCAGCACCUAUAAUUAAUUGUUUGAGUCAAAGGGGUGACGCAGAAAGAUAAACAGAGCAUACGUAUUGGACAUCGUGUGUUUUUGCCUGUAGAUGAGUAGAGAAGGUUAAAAUAUUUUCUACGUUUGAAUUGAGGGGUGAGAAAACUAUGAGGUUCGCCUCGUAGAAUUCUGUCGACUCUAAACUGCCAAGAAAAGCCUCGUUGAUUAGAUUUUUCAUAGACCGUACCGCAAACCAACACAGGUAGACAGGGAUAAACGUCCCAAGGCCAUCGAGAGAACCAUCGUUAAGGAACUCGGCAAAUUGACCCCGUAACUUAGGGAGAAGGGGGGCCUUUUGUGUAUAUGAGUUUACCUCAAAAAGCAUGGAAGGUAGCAUAAAAUAGGCUGAAGCGACUGUUUACCAAAAACACAGGUCCAUGCCAAAGCGAAAGCUGAUGUAUAUGGGCUGACGCCUGCCCAGUGCCGGUAGGUUAAGGAAAGUUGUGCAAGCAACUGACUGAAGCCCCGGUGAACGGCGGCCGUAACUAUAACGGUCCUAAGGUAGCGAAGUCCCUUGUCGGGUAAGUUCCGACCCGCACGAAUGGCGUAACGACUUCAGCACUGUCUCAACGAUGGACUCGGUGAAAUUGCAGGACCGGUAAAGAUGCCGGUUACGCGCAGCAGGACAAAAAGACCCCGUGGAGCUUUACUGCAACUUGGCAUUGGUUCGAGUUUUAAAAUGUGUAGGAUAGGCGGGAGACUUUGAACUCUAGGCGUUAGCCUAGGGGGAGUCGCCCUUGAAAUACCGCCCUUUUUAUGAUUUGGACCUAACACUUUUGGACAGUGUCUGGUGGGCAGUUUGACUGGGGCGGUCGCCUCCCAAAGAGUAACGGAGGCGUACAAAGGUCACCUCAGGCUGGAUGGAAAUCAGCUUUUGAGUGCAUUGGCAUAAGGUGGCUUGACUGCGAGACAUACAAGUCGAGCAGGGACGAAAGUCGGUCAAAGUGAUCCCACGGUUCCGAGUGGAAGGGCCGUGGCUUAACGGAUAAAAGCUACCCCGGGGAU
rnacentral:rRNA from 1 species